rnacentral:rRNA from 1 species
UACGUAGGGUGUAAGCGUUAAUCGGAAUUACUGGGCGUAAAGCGCACGUAGGUGGUUUGUUAAGUCAGCUGUGAAAUCCCCGGGCUCAACCUGGGCACUGCAGUUGAAACUGGCAAGCUAGAGUAGGGUAGAGGGGUGUGGAAUUCCAGGUGUAGCGGUGAAAUGCGUAGAUAUCUGGAGGAACAUCAGUGGCGAAGGCGACACCCUGGACUCAUACUGACACUGAGGUGCGAAAGCGUGGGGAGCAAACAGG